rnacentral:rRNA from 1 species
GAGUUUGAUCCUGGCUCAGAAUCAACGAUGGCGGCGUGCCUCAGACAUGCGAGUCGAACGAUUAAAGCUCCCUUCGGGGAGUGCAUAGAGUGGCGCACGGGUGAGUAACACGUAAGUAAUCUACCUUCGGAUGGGGAAUAACAGUCGGAAACGACUGCUAAUACCGCAUAAUGCAGCGGCACCUAAUGGUGACAGUUGUUAAAGUAUUUAUACGUCUGGAGAGGAGCUUGCGGCAGAUUAGCUAGUUGGUAAGGUAAUGGCUUACCAAGGCUACGAUCUGUAGCCGACCUGAGAGGGUGGUCGGUCACACUGACACUGAAUAACGGGUCAGACUCCUACGGGAGGCAGCAGUCGGGAAUUUUGGGCAAUGGGCGAAAGCCUGACCCAGCAACGCCGCGUGAAGGAUGAAGUCUUUCGGGAUGUAAACUUCGUAAGAAUAGGAAGAAUAAAUGACGGUACUAUUUGUAAGGUCCGGCUAACUACGUGCCAGCAGCCGCGGUAAUACGUAGGGACCAAGCGUUGUUCGGAAUUACUGGGCGUAAAGGGCGCGUAGGCGGCGUGUCAAGUCAAUUGUGAAAUCUCCGAGCUUAACUCGGAACGGUCAAUUGAUACUGAUGUGCUAGAGUGCAGAAGGGGCAAUCGGAAUUCUUGGUGUAGCGGUGAAAUGCGUAGAUAUCAAGAGGAACACCUGAGGUGAAGACGGGUUGCUGGGCUGACACUGACGCUGAGGCGCGAAAGCUAGGGUAGCAAACGGGAUUAGAUACCCCGGUAGUCCUAGCCCUAAACGAUGAAUACUUGGUGUCUGGAGUUUUAAUUCUCCGGGUGCCGUCGCU